CACGUAGGGCGCAAGCGUUGUCCGGAAUUAUUGGGCGUAAAGAGCUCGUAGGCGGUCUGUUGCGUCCGCUGUGAAAACUCGGGGCUUAACCCCCGAGCCUGCAGUGGAUACGGGCAGACUAGAGGUAGGUAGGGGAGAAUGGAAUUCCCGGUGUAGCGGUGAAAUGCGCAGAUAUCGGGAGGAACACCGGUGGCGAAGGCGGUUCUCUGGGCCUUACCUGACGCUGAGGAGCGAAAGCGUGGGGAGCGAACAGG
rnacentral:rRNA from 1 species